rnacentral:lncRNA from 1 species
CUCUCCUUUCCCCUUGUUCCUCCCCAGAGUGACUUUGAAGAUGACAUUUGUAUAUCUGAAUUAAAACCACAUUUGGCCGGUGCUGAGAAGGGAGGAGGCAGGGGCAGAAGAGAGAGAAAUCUUUUUGUUCUCUUCCUUGUCGUCCCCCCUCACCUGCCAGGGCCAAGCUCCAAAAUAAUUCCAAACAGCUGAGGUUAGCCAGGGACAUCUAAUCCCGGAAAGCUGGCUCUGAAUUCCAGCACCAGCACAUGGCAUUUGAAUUUCAACAACCAUUCACGUGUAAUUCCUCCAGACCUCUGAAGAAGUGUGAGUAUAUGCACAGGUAUGGGCUUAUUUAUAUAAAAAGAAAAAAAAACAAAUUCAUAAAUUGUAACCCAAAAGAUAUAAUGAUAACUGUGGCAACAUUCUUGUUUUUUAAAGCUAAGCAAGCUCAGGAACUGUUUUAAGGAUGUACUGGGGUCUUUUGAGUGUACCCUAAACCACCGUGACUAUAGGAUGUCCAAGAAUUGUGAUUCUCAACCAAAGGGAAGGCUGAGUCCUCUUUCCCUGAUUUCCUGUAAUGGAAAAAGACUGCUCUGUGCAAGUGGAGCUUAAAGGAUCUUGCUGAGACCUUUCCUGUUUGUUUACAGAAGGGGUACAAGGAGCAUCCUGGCAACACAACGGAGAGAAACCUCUCAGGGCAGAGCUACACCGAUAUGGGAGGAUGUGGCAGCAACAGGAUCACCCUGAGGGAAACACAUCUUUCCAGACAUGGAAAGCAAAGGGGACACGUUGGCGCAUCUGUCAAGAUUCCCGCUCUGGAAAAGAAGAUCAGAGCAAAUGGGGACUGAGGAGAACAAAAGCUGACCCAAACCUUUGACCUAAACUUAACAUAAAGCCAAAUGAAACCUUAGAGGAAACAAUAAUUGAUUAUUGUCUCACUCCUUGCGUUGGAUGAAUCCUGUGUUCUCUGAGUGAAGGCUAAUGAGCCAGCCUCCAUCCUUGACAAGAUCUGGAGCAAGGCAGUGGCUUCCACAGCUCCCCACAAAUUUCUGCAGUGCAAAAGGGCUGACCCACAACUCAAGCACCGUGGGGCCAAGCUUCCCAAGACCAUCUUCUUCGCAGCCGCUCUGUGUGGUGACAUCUUGGCAUCGUACAUGGAGAAGCGGUUUACAAGAGCCCCUAGGACUGACCAGAGAUCUCCACCAUGCCCCAGUCAUCCUCCUGUCACACUGCUGAUUCAACCAAUGCCCUCCCAAUCCUGCCCAUAGAGCAACUACAGGGGACAUGUGAUGCCACGGCAAGUACCCAGCCAGCAGCAGCGUGAACCGAUGCGCUCGCUAUUUAAUAUGCAGAGGAAAUGAGUCGCAACUAAGUUCAUUGCACACAUCCAUUACGUGAGAGAAGCAUCAAUAUUUCUGUAAAUCCACCAGGGAAUUUAUUCAUCUCAGCCUCCAGCAAUGGUGGAUUCCCCUGGUGACUAGUGCAAUUCGGAAGCGCGUACAGCCAUAAUGAGAAAGUACCGUGGUUUCCCUUAAAGUAAUAUAGUGGUUAUUGCUGAUAGUUACUGCCUUUGUGAAGUAUUAAUGCGUGGUUAUAGUGCAGUCAUGUAGCAAAAUUAUAGGGGCCUGUGGAAUGUUACUUAGCAACACUUGCUAAUGUUGAGGUGGUAAUGAAGAAAUGGAGUAAAAGAAAUACAGAGUAUAUUGGAGUCAUAAAAUAAACCAUGGUGUGGCUUCA